UCUGGGUAUACCAAGAAUGUAGGACUGGUCCACAAAUAGAAUGGCUUUAUUACAAAUAUUUGAAGGAUGGGUGCUCCUGGAAGAAGGCGGAACUGUCUACGGUCCUGCAAUAAGAUUCCCCUUCAAAAAUCAAGUUGCAUAGGAUACAGACACUGGAAGGUUACAAAAGGGCAGGACAGGUCCUCUUUUUGGCAAUCAGAAGCAGCUGAAGCUACAAGGGAAUUGCCUGCACCAGGAGCCUGAUGAUCCAACCUUCUUAAGCAGGAAAUACAAAGAUUUCUUCUUCCCCAAUGAGUUCCCCAACCAAGCUCCUUGUCCCCUUUCUGCACAGUGAUACAGAUUCAUCAGGAAGAGUGGAGAGUGACCCUACUAAAGCACUCUCCUUGAAGUGUGAAUUUAGCCUCCUUGAGUUGGAGAAAACAUUGAACCUGAGUGCACACUUCCUGAGUAAGUUCUGUUACACAAAAGGUGAGCACAACCACCACCUUCUUCUACAUUUUAAAAGAAAAUUAGCCAGCCCUGCUCAGGGGCUUGAAGAAAUUGUUAAAAGUCCCAUGAGAUGAAGAUGCUGGGCUCUGGAUUUUAAGUAUAUGUUAGGUACCCAAAAGCACUAGUGAAUUCUUUGAAAAAAUUGACUGGAAUUUUCCAGAAGUCAAAGUAGACCUCUCUUUGUUUGCCUCUUACCUUCUACCUAAACUUUACAGCUCCUGCCUUUGCCUUUCAUAUCAUGUUUUAAACUUAAAGAUAAUUUUUAUAUUCUAGAUAUGAACUCUUAAAAAUAAGCAUUUAAGAUUAAGUGAAAUGUAUAGACAGGUACUUAACUCUAGCAACACAUAUUCUAAUUAGGAGAGUUCCUAAUAGCACUGAAUAGCAGAAUCAUGACUCUUGAGAACAGUGUGUUGGAUAUCAGUUUCUCUGGAAGGGUGCAGUGUCAGAUCCAUGUUUGAAUUUCCAGUGCAGUUUAACACAUGUCCAUCUCAGCUCUCAGCUAGUUUUACACACAGCCACUUGACCUUGAUGAUAAAAUUGAUGAUAGUAAAAUCUAACUAUGAAAAGACUCUAUCAUGUUUUCAUUUUGCAGCAUUUAAUAUUAAGAACUGGAAGUGAUCUUGUCUCUUCAGUAUUGCUUGCAUCCUCACUAUCAAAAUCAUGGUAUUGUCACUGCUUUUUAUUUUAUUUUAUUUUAUAACAAAGACAUGCUGAUAAAAAAGCAGCAACUUCCAUUCUAAGAUUAUAGUUGUGAUGACUGAAGAAGACAUAAUAAAGAUUGAUUUAGACUGGAAGUGCAGGGCCAAAGAUGUGUGAACAAGUUUAAGAUUAACAUCAAUCUUCCAGAAUCUUUAAAAUCACACAAACUCACUAUUAAAUAUAACUGCUGUAUAAACUAGUAAUAUGGAUAUAAUGCUUUCUCACUGCUAUGUGUUCCCUUCUCCAGUCAUAUGAAUUAUGUGAAAGCAAAUUAACACUUCAGUUUGAAAAUGUUUGACACGUUAACUAAAAACAGCUAGGAGAUAUAUGAUGGUCCUCAAUUUAGAGACAGAGAAAUUGACACCAAUAUUAAGUGAAUUACACAAGCAAAUCAGUGCCAGAUCUGGGACUAGAACUAUCACCCUCAUUAUUCUACUUCGUAAUCAUUACACUUUAACCAAGGACUAAGUUAAAUGUGUAAGCAGAAUCCAGAACUCAAGACAGUGUACUAACUUUACCUAACCUAACCAUCGAGCUAGUGAGUUGUGAUCCCUCUUGCUUGCUCUUUCUUGUCCAGUGAAGUUUGAAUUCUUUGCUGCAGAAUGGAACCGAUUCAAGAAGAGAAACAGAACAGGCCUGCACUUCAAAACAGCUAGCAGC